GUGACGAAGCGACGCCGCGUGUGGGAAGAAGGCCUUCGGGUUGUAAACCACUGUCGGGAGUUAGGAAAUGCAGGUGCGUUAAUAGCGCACUUGCUUGACUAAGGCUCCAGAGGAAGCCACGGCUAACUCUGUGCCAGCAGCCGCGGUAAUACAGAGGCGGCAAGCGUUGUUCGGAAUUAUUGGGCGUAAAGAGCACGUAGGCGGCCUUGCAAGUCAGUUGUGAAAGCCUUCCGCUUAACGGAAGAACGGCAUCUGAUACUACAGGGCUUGAGUACGGGAGGGGAGAGUGGAACUUCUGGUGGAGCGGUGAAAUGCGUAGAUAUCAGAAGGAACGCCGGCGGCGAAAGCGACUCUCUGGUCCGAAACUGACGCUGAGUGUGCGAAAGCUAGGGGAGCAAACGGGAUUAGAUAACCCGGUAGUCCUAGCCGUAAACGAU
rnacentral:rRNA from 1 species